UGAAAGGUCAGACACGAGCGGCAGACAGAACCGAAAGGACAGCUUUGGACGUUUGAUUUGGGCGAGAGCCUCGCCCAACUGGACUCGAGGGCCUGAUGCCAUCCUCCCAGUGAUGUUAAACCACCUCAGUAGAGGUAACCUACCUGGCAGGAACGCAUGGGUGGAGGCUGGCCGUGGUCGUGGUGAUGGAGUGGCUAGGAUGCUGUACACCUCCCACCACUGGACUGCUGACCAUGGGGCCUAACGUCAGACAGACAGACACAGACGGACGGACGGACCUGUGUGUGGUCCCACUCUCAGCUCCAGUGUUGCUG